UACGGGGGGGGCAAGCGUUGUUCGGAAUUACUGGGCGUAAAGGGCUCGUAGGUGGCCAACUAAGUCAGACGUGAAAUCCCUCGGCUUAACCUGGGAACUGCAUCCGAUACUGGAUGGCUUGAAUCCGGGAGAGGGAUGCAGAAUUCCAGGUGUAGCGGUGAAAUGCGUAGAUAUCUGGAGGAAUACCGGUGGCGAAGGCGGCAUCCUGGACCGGCAUUGACGCUGAGGAGCGAAAGCUAGGGGAGCAAACGGG
rnacentral:rRNA from 1 species